rnacentral:rRNA from 1 species
CCUACGGGUGGCAGCAGUGAGGAAUAUUGGUCAAUGGACGCAAGUCUGAACCAGCCAUGCCGCGUGCAGGAAGACGGCUCUAUGAGUUGUAAACUGCUUUUGUACGAGGGUAAACGCAGAUACGCGUAUCUGUCUGCACGUAUCGUACGAAUAAGGAUCGGCUAACUCCGUGCCAGCAGCCGCGGUAAUACGGAGGAUUCAAGCGUUAUCCGGAUUUAUUGGGUUUAAAGGGUGCGUAGGCGGUCGGAUAAGUUAGAGGUGAAAUCCCGAGGCUCAACUUCGGAAUUGCCGCUGAUACUGGUCGGCUAGAGAGUAGUUGCGGUAGGCGGAAUGUAUGGUGUAGCGGUGAAAUGCUUAGAGAUCAUACAGAACACCGAUUGCGAAGGCAGCUUACCAAGCUACGUCUGACGUUGAGGCACGAAAGCGUGGGGAGCAAACAGGAUUAGAUACCCCUGUAGUC